CCGCGUCAGUUCGUACUGUGAAGCAUCCUGUUAAGUCAGGCAACGAGCGAGACCCACGCCCACAGUUGCCAGCGUACUCUCUGGAGUGACGGGUACACUGUGGGGACCGCCGCUGCUAAAGCGGAGGAAGGAAUGGGCAACGGUAGGUCAGUAUGCCCCGAAUAUCCCGGGCUACACGCGAGCUACAAUGGUUGGUACAAUGGGUAUCUACCCCGAAAGGGGACGGGAAUCUCCUAAAACCAAUCUUAGUUCGGAUUGAGGGCUGCAACUCGCCCUCAUGAAGCUGGAAUCCGUAGUAAUCGCGUUUCAACAGAACGCGGUGAAUACGUCCCUGCUCCUU
rnacentral:rRNA from 1 species